GCUGUGAAAACCUGAGGCUCAACCUCAGGCCUGCAGUCGAUACGAGCAGACUAGAGUGUUGCAGGGGAGACUGGAAUUCCUGGUGUAGCGGUGAAAUGCGCAGAUAUCAGGAGGAACACCGGUGGCGAAGGCGGGUCUCUGGGCAACAACUGACGCUGAGGAGCGAAAGCGUGGGGAGCGAACAGGAUUAGAUACCCUGGUAGUCCACGCCGUAAACGUUGGGCGCUAGGUGUGGGGCUCAAUCCACGAGUUCCGUGCCGCAGCUAACGCAUUAAGCGCCCCGCCUGGGGAGUACGGCCGCAAGGCUAAAACUCAAAGGAAUUGACGGGGGCCCGCACAAGCGGCGGAGCAUGUUGCUUAAUUCGAUGCAACGCGAAGAACCUUACCUAGGCUUGACAUGCACGGAAAUCCUCCAGAGAUGGUGGGUCCGUAAGGGCCGUGCACAGGUGGUGCAUGGUUGUCGUCAGCUCGUGUCGUGAGAUGUUGGGUUAAGUCCCGCAACGAGCGCAACCCUCGUUCUAUGUUGCCAGCACGUCAUGGUGGGGACUCAUAGGAGACUGCCGGGGUCAACUCGGAGGAAGGUGGGGAUGACGUCAAAUCAUCAUGCCCCUUAUGUCUAGGGCUGCAAACAUGCUACAAUGGCCGGUACAAAGGGCUGCGAUACCGCGAGGUGGAGCGAAUCCCAAAAAGCCGGUCUCAGUUCGGAUUGGGGUCUGCAACUCGACCCCAUGAAGUUGGAGUCGCUAGUA
rnacentral:rRNA from 1 species